rnacentral:rRNA from 1 species
CCUACGGGUGGCUGCAGUGGGGAAUAUUGGACAAUGGGGGCAACCCUGAUCCAGCCAUGCCGCGUGUGUGAAGAAGGCCCUCGGGUUGUAAAGCACUAUCAGUGAGGAAGAACGCCUGGUGGUUAAUACCCAUCAGGAAAGACAUCACUCACAGAAGAAGCACCGGCUAACUCCGUGCCAGCAGCCGCGGUAAUACGGAGGGUGCGAGCGUUAAUCGGAAUUACUGGGCGUAAAGCGCGCGUAGGUGGCUUGAUAAGCCGGUUGUGAAAGCCCCGGGCUCAACCUGGGAACGGCAUCCGGAACUGUCAAGCUAGAGUGCAGGAGAGGAAGGUAGAAUUCCCGGUGUAGCGGUGAAAUGCGUAGAGAUCGGGAGGAAUACCAGUGGCGAAGGCGGCCUUCUGGACUGACACUGACACUGAGGUGCGAAAGCGUGGGUAGCAAACAGGAGUAGAUACCCUUGUAGUC